AUCCAACUGACGAGUCCCAAAUAGGACGAAAUGCGCACCCUGGAU
rnacentral:hammerhead_ribozyme from 1 species